rnacentral:tmRNA from 1 species
GGGGGUGACUGGAUUAGAUGUAAUUAUUUUCUUAAAAAUUCAUGCCGAGUGAAAACUCGUAAAAUAUUAGGUUUUAUAUAAAUGCCGAAGACAAUUAUAACUACGCAAUAGCCGCUUAAGUUAUUGCAUGUAUUCCAAUUUUUCUUUAAUUUGAAAUACAUAAUUUAAAAGAUAUUUGUCACAUUUAUUAAGUUUUUUGUUGUGAUGGAUAAAACUAAAAAAACUAUUUAGUUUAUAAAUUAAUGUAAAGCUAAAAAAAAAAUAUUAAAUUAAAGCAUGUAUAAAAUUUUUAGGGCAAAAUAAUUGCAGACGUGGGUUCAACUCCCACCACCUCCAUUU